rnacentral:tRNA from 1 species
CCCUGGUUAGCUCAGCUGUCAGAGCGCUCCACUGGAAAUGGAGAGGUCCCUCGUUCUAUACCAGGACCAGGAG